ensembl:lncRNA
AGCGAAUUUAUCCUAAUGUGGGUGGGAAUAAAAAAAUAACGUUUCCUGGAAACGUGAUUGUUUACACGUCAUCGCUAGCAUUAGCUAGGCACGCCAUCAGCGCCGCCAUUUUGAAUGGGACUUUUUUUUUUUAAUUAUGUAUUUAUUUUUUUAAGUUACGGUCAUCGACUUGAUCUUAGUUUAAAGCUAAUUUGAUGGGAAAAAAUAAUAAUUAAUAAAUACCGGCACCCAGUACAGAAUUAUAUACAUUUAAUCUUUUUUUCAUAUUUUUGAGGUACUUUAUCCAGGACAUAGGUCAGGUUUAGCGCUGCUGCUGAGGUGUGUCCUGUUAGAUUGAUUAUUUAAACAAUAAAUAGCUCUGCACAUCUACUCUUGGUUUGAGCCUUCAGUUUCACCUCUGAAGAAUGCAUUGUUGUUAAAUAGGAUAAACCAACAUGAAGAUCAGAGAGCUGUCUAUGGGAGAAAAGUGAGCCAUUUUGAAGCUGAGAUAAGAGGGAAAAUCAAUCAGAGCCAUUGCAGAAACAUUGGGCCUAGCCAAUACAACAACCUGAAAAAGAAGAAACCACUGGUGUACUACAGCCAGACAUGGAACAGGUCAUCCAAGGAAAACAACAGCUAAUGAAAGAAAUAAAUAUUGUGAGAGCUGUGAAGAAAAACCCAAAAAAACAUUCAGGGACAUCACCAACAACCUCCACAGAGCAGAGGUGAAGGUAUCACAUUGGAUCUGCCUUUUUGAACAUUUGAUUUGAUUUACAGAGAAAUGGAUCCAAAUUAAUGAGGAGGAACUUCAUCAUGCAACAAGACAACGAUCAAAAACACACUGCCACCUCAACACAGGACUUCAUUAGGGUGGAAAGUGGAAGGUUUUAGACUGGACAAGUCAAUCACCAGACCUUCACCUAACUGAUCAGCAUUUCACCUCCUGAAGACGAGACUGAAGGGAGAAACCCCCAGAAACAAAAUCAAUUGAAAGAGGCUGCGGGACAAGGAAAAUCAUCACAAAAGAAGAAAACAGCAGUUUGAUGUCAGUGACUUGCAGGAUUGAUGAAGUUAUUGCAAGCAACGGAUAUGCAACCAAAUAUUAAGUGUUAUUUACUUUAGUUUCCUUUAAGACUUAUCUGUUCCUAUACUUUUGCUCACCUAAAAAGUGGGUGGUCUGAUACAAAAGGUUCUCUGUUUUAUGUUGUUUAACACAUCUAGAUGUAAAUACUAGGAAAUAAAAAAA